rnacentral:tRNA from 1 species
CCUUCGAUAGCUCAGUUGGUAGAGCGGUGGACUGUAGAGAUUAAAACCGAAAUAUGUAGACAUCCAUAGGUCGCUGGUUCAAAUCCGGCUCGAAGGA